CAAAUACCUCCUGACGCCCUCCUCCCCAUCUCCGAUUCCUCCUCCGCCCGCGAUUCCUUCUCUCCUCGCCGCAUCACCGUCCCCGUGCCCUUCUCCAAACUCCGCCAUCCCCGUCCCGUACUCCCUCCCUUGGAAAAGAUCAAUUGGAGGAGUAAUUCCGGCUUCAUCCGGUGGUGGCGAUGCCGGAAAAGAUCGAUUUUUUUUCGACGGGAGGAGUAAUUCCGGAUUGAUCCGGUGGUGCCGAUGCCGGAUCCUGCGACGGCGCCGACGCGAGCCACCAAGGGCCGUGGACUCCCUCUCCGGCUGCGAUUCCGCCAAACCCUGUCGUCUCGGCGUCCCAGCGACCAUCUCCGAGGCGGAUAAAAUCGUUUCUUUCGGUAGCAGCCCGAGGAGAAGGCCCGGACAAAUCCUCGGAGCAGUAAGCCCGCCGCUCCAGCACCUUUCCUCACCGCCGUCGUCAUCAAGAUCACAAGAGCAGGACUCUUUGGACGGUGCUGAAGAUUGACCGGUUGGAGUCUAUUGAUUUGGGUAUCCAGGAGUAUCCUACUAGUUACACGGAGAAUUGAUUGUCAAGAACUAAUUUGGCGGAUUCACGAGGGAAAUAGGUUUUCUGAAGUUUCUUGGUCCUUACUACAUGGUUGCAAUUACCAGGAGAAGAAAAGUUGGCAGAAUCUGUGGUCAUUAUAUUUUUAUUCAAUUGGAAAGAGUGAAAUGGUUGCAAUAGAAAUCUGCAUUUAAGUCUUCAGCUCUCAUAUUCUUUUUGUGGUUUAUUUAUUUAUACACUCAGAGAGAGGACUGGUUAGCUUAGGCCAUCGGAGUAUCUGUUUGAUUGAUGUGAUGAAUUUCAAUUCUGCCUUGGAGUAUUUAUUUAUUGAGCUUUACCUGUCUUUUUCUCAGGUUCUCUUGGUGGUCGGAAUUUUGCAAGGUGAAGUUGGUCCUAUGAUUUCUGUCAUGAAAAUUGAAAUGACACGUUUGGAGUCUUGUUCUGAUGUCGGUGGUUUACAUGUUCCAAUUCAAGAUAUUAAAGAAGCAGUUGAACUUCCCGAGGGAAAGCUCUACUUGCAAAGCUUGGAAGGUGGAUUAGCUGGGGGAGGAACCAAGAAGCUUUAGGCCCAAGAACUUCGUGUGGACCAUGACCUCCUCAGUGUUGCCAAGCAGCACAACAUUCUCCACUGGUAGGCAUUCGUUGACGAGAAGCUUGGCCAAACCCAGUAGGUAUGCGUGGAAUUAUUGAGCUCAGGUUUUUUGGGAUUAAGAUUCUUACACCAAAGGAUCACUAUAUACCAAGACUUCGAGGAUGAUAAGAGCGGAAGAUUUGGAUUUAAUUGUUAGGCUCGAUGUCUCAAAAUACGACAAGGAAUCAACUGAAAGAGGAACAUGUAUGAAUCGUACGGAAGAACUACUAUAUGCUAUUAAGGUACGUGUUAGCUUCUGAGGGGUACAUAUUCUUUUGUUCCUUUUCCAUCUUCUCGUAAUCCUGUCGUAUUACUUUAUUCUUCCUUUGUUCACAAAUAUAAAAAAUGUCUAGUAUUUAUGUACAAAGGGAGUAGUAAAUCGAAAAUGUCAAACGGAGACCGAGCUCCAUGGAGGCCUUUAUUUGAAAACUUCAAAAUUCAAAAUUUUCAGUUUCAAAAAUUCUGGAAAAAAAUACAGAUACAUAAUGUACAUGUGUGCAAAUUUUCAGGUCGAAAUACAUUAAAACGUGAGCUACACAAAAAAGACAAAUGUGGGGCCUUUUACCAUAUGUACUGUUCAUCUUUAAAGUCCAUGAUUUUGUUUUUUUUGUGCAGCUCGCAAUUCAUCCUGAAACUUAUCACACAUACACAUUACAUCCUUGCAUACAUGUUUGUUUUUUUCAGAAUUUUUUGAAAUCGAAAUUUAUGAAUUUUGAAUUUUUCAAAAUAAAGGGCUCCAUGGAGCUCGGUCUUCAAAAUGCCCUAAUCGUAGUAAAUUUGUUUUUAAAAUCAGGACAUGUUUAUUACAUCUCUAUGUUAUGUUAUGUUAUACUCCCUCCGUUCCUAAAUAUUAGACCUUUUAGAGAUGUCAAUAUGGACUACGUAACAGGCAAAACGAGUGAAUCUACAUUCUAAAAUAUGUCUAUAUACAUCCGUAUGUACUAUGUAGUCCAUAUUGAAAUAUCUGAAAGGGCUUAUAUUUAGAAACGGAGGGAGUCUGAUGUAAUAAUGUUUUUCUCAAUAUACUUUAUAUAGUGCAUCUGUAAUGUUUAUACUCUCCUUAUGUCACAAACUCCCAUUGGUCCAGCUCAUUCUUCCAAUCAGCUCUAAAAGAAAUAUAGCUUAAUAUUGAUUAUCCAACUAUCAUCAUAAUCUUUUAGUUUUUAGGCUUUUGCUUUCUGUAGCAACUUCAGAAUCUCUGCUUUUACCCAAGCAUCGACAAGUAGUAUGACAUGUCUUUGCCGCCUCCCACUAAAAAGGGAACUAUUGUCAAGUGCAUCAUUCAUCAUGGACUUGGAUCAAAAGAAAAGUAAAGGUACUCCCUCCUAUCGGAAUUAAUUGACGCAACCUCUAUUCAAGACAAGAGGCUGCGGUGAUUAAUUCAGAUCGGUGGCAGUAUAUUUCUUUCUAGAACAAUUUGCUUGAAUAGAAAUAUUCUUGAGAACGUACCGCGAUUAUGAUGUUAAGGCUACCCCUCAAAUGAAUUUCUCUGUUCUACUUGAAUGAAAAUAGUUCUUGAAACAUAAUGAGAUUUUGAAGCCCUUUAAACAGUCUGCUGCUGGUUAGUUGUUUUGAUCAUCUUCUCUCAUCAUUUUUCUUAUCUGACAACGCAGAAUAAUUCGGUGUCUAAGAAACAUGGCGAUAUUAUAAUAAUCUUUCGGAUCCAUAUGUAUUUCAUUACUAGAUACAUCCGUUUGGCAUAAGUUUCUUUUCAUUCUGAACCUAAUAAUAUCUCCAUGCUUUUAGAGGUUAUUUAGCUAAUACUUCCUCCGUCCGGUAAUACUUGUCAGAGAAAUGGAUGUAUCUAGACAUAUUUUGGCUCA